CAUUGAAACACCAGUUUUUGUAUGGUCUCCAAAGUUAAGCAACAUUGAGCCUGGUCAGUACCUAGAUGGGUGACUGCUUAGGAAUACCAGGUAAUGUAA